rnacentral:lncRNA from 1 species
GAAUGAGGAAAAAAGAUUUGCAAACCAUAUAUUCAAUAAGGGGUUAAAUCCUAAAUAUAUAAGGGACUCAUACACCUUAAUACCGAAAUUACAAAUAGCAAUUUAAAAAUGGACAAAGGACCUCAAAAGAAGGGUUUAGCAUAUUGUGUGUAGGCUCUUCUAGGGAAGGGUCAUUUCUUCAUUUUUAUAUCCAUGGCAUCACAAACUGGACAUAUCUUUAUUAUAGCACUUAGCAAACUGAAUUAUCAGUGACUAUCUUACCUGUUUUUACUGGUCAGUGAUUUGGGGCCUUGUUUACCUCUGCAUCCCAUGGCCUAGUUGUUAAAUCUGCAUCCCUAGUGCAGAUUGCUAUUCUAGUUGUUUAACUGUGCAUCCCAUGGCCUAGUUGUUCAAUCAAAUUUUGUUGAAUGACUGCAUGAAAGAAAAAACACAUCGAAGGGCCAGCA